rnacentral:tRNA from 1 species
AACAAGAUAGUUUAUUAAAAAUAUUAAACUGUAAAUUUAAUGAAGAUGUAACUAAUCUCUUGUUA